UCUUUUCCGUAUCGCCAUGAUGGGCCGUCAUGUUGUGACUCCGCCGCUGGGGGAAGUCCGGUUCGAAUCCGGCGCUGGCCCGCAACGGUAGGCCGCCGGCUCCUGGUCGGCGGCGAGCCCGAGUACCCGUCGGCGGAGGCGUGUCGUC
rfam:Streptomyces sp. CB02056 scaffold7, whole genome shotgun sequence.